UCUCCCCACAGGGAGGAUGGCCUGGGGCAGGAUGGUUGUGUACUGUGACAGGGUGUCGCGUGGAUGGUGCAUGUGAGCCGAGUGUGUGAGUGGACACAAGAGGGGUGAUCAUGCAGGGGGUGUGCAAGACAAGUGUGUACCCCCUGUGGUUCUCCUCCCACCAACACAUUGAUCUUAUUUGAUCAGGUUGUGACCCCAGCCCCACCAGGCCAACUGGAGAUGAAAAGAAAUUUCUCUUCUAAGGA